rnacentral:rRNA from 1 species
GACGAACGCUGGCGGCGUGCUUAGCACAUGCAAGUCGAACGGAAAGGCCCUGCUUUUGUGGGGUGCUCGAGUGGCGAACGGGUGAGUAACACGUGAGUAACCUGCCCUUGACUUUGGGAUAACUUCAGGAAACUGGGGCUAAUACCGGAUAGGAGCUCCUGCUGCAUGGUGGGGGUUGGAAAGUUUCGGCGGUUGGGGAUGGACUCGCGGCUUAUCAGCUUGUUGGUGGGGUAGUGGCUUACCAAGGCUUUGACGGGUAGCCGGCCUGAGAGGGUGACCGGCCACAUUGGGACUGAGAUACGGCCCAGACUCCUACGGGAGGCAGCAGUGGGGAAUAUUGCACAAUGGGCGGAAGCCUGAUGCAGCAACGCCGCGUGCGGGAUGACGGCCUUCGGGUUGUAAGCCGCUUUCGCCUGUGACGAAGCGUGAGUGACGGUAAUGGGUAAAGAAGCACCGGCUAACUACGUG